GGUGUGCUUCAGAACUGACACUCUGGGGACAGAAGGUACCCACUGCCCAGCCUGCCAGCAACCUAUCUUCCUUUAAACAACAAAAACGAAGCAGAAAGAGGAAAAAAGCCUGAACCUUUCCUAAUAAGGAGGAGAACUUGCUGAUGCUCUGAGGAUAGCAGAAUAGGUGGAAAGAGCUUGAUGGUGCUGGGCUUCUGAAUUGCUGAACUGGAAACAGACUCUAUGUGGACUUCUUUUUAUAUGAGACGGUCCUAUCAAGAGGCUGCGCCACACAAUGUCUAAAACCAAUCAACUGGUCUGCCUGGGUCAUCUGCACUGCAAGGUUUAUGAUUCUCUGGACCAGGGCUUCUAAGCCGGUAUACCCUGCUGGUUCAGGUAUGCCUCAGCCCCAGGUGGCCAGGCAGGGCCUGGACCAUCCAGAGCCUCCAGCUGUGGGCAUCUUCCUCCAUGCUAUAAUAUGACUUUUCUAAGUGUGCCAUUCAGGUUGAGUAUCCCAUAUUCAAAACGC